UGUUUUCAGAGGUAUUCAACUCUGACCCUACGAGGUCCUGAUUCCUGCAGGUUUUCUGUUCUACCUGAUAAUAAUUGCCCCCACCUGGUGUCCCAGGUUAGAGGUGGAAUUAUGGGAGAAAAGCAGUGGAACUGGCUUCCAGGUCUCUACUGUAUAUAGGGCACACUACUUUAGACCUGAUCCCUAUGCGUCCUGGUCUAAAGUAGUGCACUAUAUAGGGAAUAGGGUGUCAUAGGGCUCUGGUCUAAAGUAGUGCACUAUAUAGGGAAUUGGGUGCCAUAGGGCUCUGGUCUAAAGUAGUGCACUAUAUAGGGAACAGGGCUCUGGUCUAAAGUAGUGCACUAUAUAGGGAACAGGGUACCAUAGGGCUCUGGUCUAAAGUAGUGCACUAUAUAGGAAAUAGGGUUCCAUAGGGCUCUGGUCUAAAGUAGUGCACUAUAUAGGGAAUAGGGUGCCAUAGGGCUCUGGUCUAAAGUAGUGUACUAUAUAGGGAAUAGGGUGCCAUAGGACUCUGGUCUAAAGUAGUUAGUUGGUUGGUUUUUAUUUUCCUAGUCCCUAUACUCUCCUAGUCCCUGUACUCUCCUAGUCCCUAUACUCUCCUAGUCCCUAUACUCUCCUAGUCCCUAUACUUUCCUAGUCCCUGUACUUCCCUGUAUUUUCCUAGUCCCUAUACUCUCCUAGUCCCUGUACUCUCCUAGUCCCUGUACUCUCCUAGUCCCUAUACUCUCCUAGUCCCUGUACUUUCCUAGUCCCUGUACUUUCCUGUACUUUCCUAGUCCCUGUACUUUCCUGUACUUUCCUGUACUUUCCUAGUCCCUGUACUUUCCUGUACUCUUCUAGUCCCUGUACUCUCCUAGUCCCUGUAUUUUCCUAGUCCCUAUACUUUCCUAGUCCCUGUACUUUCCUAGUCCCUGUACUUUCCUAGUCCCUGUACUUUCCUAGUCCCUGUAUUUCCCUGUACUUUCCUAGUCCCUGUACUUUCCUAGUCCCUGUACUUUCCUGUACUUUCCUAGUUCCUGUACUUUCCUAGUCCCUGUACUCUCCUAGUCCCUGUACUUACCUGUACUCUCCUAGUCCCUGUACUCUCCUAGUCCCUGUACUUUCCUGUACUUUCCUAGUUCCUAUACUUUCCUGUACUUUUCUAGUUCCUGUACUCUCCAAGUCACUAUACCUUCCUAGUUCCUGUAUUUUCCUGUACUUUCCUAGUUCCUUUACUCUCCUAGUCCCUGUACUUUCCUGUACUUUCCUAGUUCCUGUACUCUCCUAGUCCCUGUACUCUCCUAGUCCCUGUACUUUCCUAGUCCCUGUACUUUCCUGUAUUUUCCUAGUCCCUGUACUUUCCUGUACUCUCCUAGUCCCUGUACUCUCCUAGUCCCUGUACUUUCCUGUACUUUCCUAGUCCCUGUACUUUCCUAGUCCCUGUACUUUCCUGUAUUUUCCUAGUCCCUGUUUCUUUCCUGUACUCUCCUAGUCCCUAUACUCUCCUAGUCCCUAUACUCUCCUAGUCCCUGUACUCUCCUAGUCCCUGUACUCUCCUAGUCCCUGUACUCUCCUAGUCCCUGUACUCUCCUAGUCCCUGUUUCUUUCCUGUACUCUCCUAGUCCCUGUACUCUCCUAGUCCCUAUACUCUCCUAGUCCCUGUACUCUCCUAGUCCCUGUUUCUUUCCUGUACUCUCCUAGUCCCUAUACUCUCCUAGUCCUUGUACUCUCCUAGUCCCUGUACUCUCCUAGUCCCUAUACUCUCCUAGUCCCUGUACUCUCCUAGUCCCUGUUUCUUUCCUGUACUCUCCUAGUCCCUGUACUCUCCUAGUCCCUGUACUCUCCUAGUCCCUGUACUCUCCUAGUCCCUGUACUCUCCUAGUCCCUAUACUCUCCUAGUCCCUAUACUCUCCUAGUCCCUGUACUCUCCUAGUCCCUGUACUCUCCUAGUCCCUGUACUCUCCUAGUCCCUGUACUCUCCUAGUCCCUGUACUCUCCUAGUCCCUGUACUCUCCUAGUCCCUAUACUUGUCAUUAUCCGUAUCAUUGCAGUAAUGAAUUCUGUCUGGCCUGUGUAAUGACUCGUCAGCCCUCCCGGUGAGCCAAACUGGUUGAAAAGACCACCAGGCGGGUCCCAGAUCUGUUUGUGUUGUCUUGCCAACUCCAUUGCUGUCAUUGUCAAUGACGGCACAAACUGAUAGAUGUCUCCCAGGCCGAUGACAUGACGUUGUUGAGUUGAACCGAAUGCUGGUUGACACAUCCACUUCACUGCUACACAAUAGUUUAUUUCCACUUCCAUUGAUUUGAGCGCAUUGAUCAAUAACUCAGAGAUGAUCAAUUGAUCGUGUAAAAACCAGCAUAGUCAAAUGGAUGUAAAGGACAGUAUUGGGGAUAUACUACUUUGGGUACAAAUGUUUUAAAACUUUUAAUUUGAGCCAUUGGUUGUGUGCUGUUGAUUUUUAUUUUUUAUAUAAUUGAAGAAUGCCACAAAUGUUUGUGUAAUUGUAACAACAACAACAAAAAAGUUGUAUUUAAAAAAUAUAGAUGUGUCUACAGUGUCUUUCAUCUGUUUUUUGACAACUAAACAUAUAUGUGGCUGGAUUGCAGUAUUUGCUUUCAUUGGUUUUGCUUUACGAGAAACCUGCAUGUAAUGCAUAUAGUAACCACCAGGUGUCACUCUUGGUUUAGGAUAAAGGCUCACACAGCCAUUUACUACCCAGUACCCACCAGAUAUAAACUCAG
ensembl:lncRNA